rnacentral:rRNA from 1 species
GAUGAACGCUGGCGGCGUGCCUAAUACAUGCAAGUCGAGCGAACGGACGAGAAGCUUGCUUUUCUGAUGUUAGCGGCGGACGGGUGAGUAACACGUGGAUAACCUACCUAUAAGACUGGGAUAACUUCGGGAAACCGGAGCUAAUACCGGAUAAUAUUUUGAACCGCAUGGUUCAAAAGUGAAAGACGGUCUUGCUGUCACUUAUAGAUGGAUCUGCGCUGCAUUAGCUAGUUGGUAAGGUAACGGCUUACCAAGGCAACGAUGCAUAGCCGACCUGAGAGGGUGAUCGGCCACACUGGAACUGAGACACGGUCCAGACUCCUACGGGAGGCAGCAGUAGGGAAUCUUCCGCAAUGGGCGAAAGCCUGACGGAGCAACGCCGCGUGAGUGAUGAAGGUCUUCGGAUCGUAAAACUCUGUUAUUAGGGAAGAACAUAUGUGUAAGUAACUGUGCACAUCUUGACGGUACCUAAUCAGAAAGCCACGGCUAACUACGUG